GGGUCAGUAGGUUGGUCGUGCCACCGGUACGUACUGGUCUCACUGAUUCCUCCUUCCUGAAUAACCGUAAUGCCAUUAAUUUGGUGUUGCGGGGAAACAGGACUGUUACUUUGAAAGAAUUAGAGUGUUUAAAGCAAGCUAACGCUUGAAUACAUUAGCAUGGAAUAAUGAAAUAGGACGAUCGAUCCUAUUUUGUUGGUUUCUAGGAUUGACGUA
rnacentral:rRNA from 1 species